rnacentral:rRNA from 1 species
AGAGUUUGAUCCUGGCUCAGGACGAACGCUGGCGGCGUGCUUAACACAUGCAAGUCGAACGAGGCCGGGCCUUCGGGUCUGGUUGAGUGGCGAACGGGUGAGUAACACGUGAGGAACCUGCCCCAGAGACUGGGACAACUAGAGGAAACUCUGGCUAAUACCGGAUACCUUCGGCUGAUCGCAUGAUCAGCCGAAGAAACGCUCUGGUGCUCUGGGAGGGCCUCGCGGCCUAUCAGCUUGUUGGUGGGGUAAUGGCCCACCAAGGCUUCGACGGGUAGCUGGUCUGAGAGGACGAUCAGCCACACUGGGACUGAGACACGGCCCAGACUCCUACGGGAGGCAGCAGUGGGGAAUAUUGCGCACUGGGCGAAAGCCUGACGCAGCAACGCCGCGUGGGGGAUGAAGGCUUUCGGGUUGUAAACCCCUUUCAGCAGGGACGAAAAUGACGGUACCUGCAGAAGAGGCCCCGGCCAACUACGUGCCAGCAGCCGCGGUAACACGUAGGGGGCGAGCGUUGUCCGGAUUUAUUGGGCGUAAAGAGCUCGUAGGCGGUUGCGUAAGUCGGAUGUGAAAACUCAGGGCUCAACCCGGAGACGCCAUCCGAUACUGCGCUGACUAGAGUCCGGUAGGGGAGCAUGGAAUUCUUGGUGUAGCGGUGGAAUGCGCA